UCUUUCUGGUCAAAAUGGCUGGCAAGCAGGCUGGUAAGUAACUGGGGGUCUUCUUGGCCGGCAUCGUCGCGCUUCACCGUUUAUUUUUGCUGCAGCUUGCUACGUUUUCUCUCUUCUUUGUAAGUGGCCAAGUUUGUCGCGGAAGGGAAAUUGGCUGCUUCAGUCCAGCGCAAAGGAUGUGCUUCCCCACUCGUUUGCUGUCCCCAGGGCGGGCUUGCCUGUAUAGGGUUGGGAUGUUAACCCGCUGUUUGUGAAGGUGCCCGCGGUGGCUCUGACAGCCCUGGAGUUCCAGCUGCCUGUGCUCGGAAGUCCUUCCCCUUGGCCUUAGAAAAGUUAAAGGGCACAAGAGGAUAACUAGUGGAUGACUUUCAACCCGAAUGAGCUCAGUGCUUUCUAUGACCCAAGUGCUCUAUCGUGUGCAUUGGCCCUAUAAAUUUUCUUGCCAUUGCGACGAGGGAGAUAUUAAUUUCCCUUUUACGCUGAUAAGAUAACUGAGGCAAAGUGACCCAAGGAAGUAGAAUUGGAAAUAUCAUUGCACCCCUCGCGCUUCUCAAACUGCGAAUCAGAGACAGUUGAGCAAGGGAUACGAGCGACGCCUCAGGUUGACCUUGGAUUAUCUAGAGCGUCAGCUUGAUCAGUAGGUUUGGAGAAAUUUGAAUUUAUUGUAGGUUCUUUUUUUCUUUUUUCUUUCUUUUUUUUUUUUUGCUAAUCUCUGCCCUCUGGCGGUACAAGUUGGAGUAGCCGUUUUGUUUGUUUGUUUGUUUGUUUGUUUGUUUGUUUUGUCUUUGAGACGGAGUCUUGCUUUGUCGCCCAGGCUGGAGUGCAAUGGCACAAUCUCGUCUCACUGCAAUGCAACCAAGUUGGAGUAGCUUUUAAAAAAUGUUGAUCCUUUUCUCCCCGCCCCCAGCAAUUGUGAAGCUGUUAGGAAACAUCAGGUUGCCAGAAACAUCCGUUAACCUAAUUGACAUUGAGCUUUUUGGGGGUGGGGGAGACUUUUUAAAUAAUUAUUUUAUUAAUUUGGCAGAUAUUGAAGGAGUCUUACUAAAUUCAAGACACUGCUUCUUUGCGUGUUUGGGAACUACAUAGACCAGAUCUCAACUCCCAUUAGCUAACUCUGACCUUGGGUGGGGUCACUUCUGUAAGCCAGCUUCCCCUUCUGUAGUAAUAGACAUGUAAAUAAAUCAGCUAAUGUUGGUAAAGCAAAUAGGAAAGUGUUUGGUGCACAAUAAGUGCUUAGUGAAUAUUAUUAUAGUCACUGAUAGGUGGUUGAAAUGGUUGAAAAUAAUCUGUUUUCCACAAGUAUGUUUGUAGAUUGUUGACUGAUACUUGUUUUUCUAGCAGCAGUUUUAUACAUGACUCUUAAUUUCCAAGGAGAUUUGCUAAAGCCACGUAAUCUGUAGUGCACUGAGUUUGCAAGCAAGGAGAGUUGAGUGAAAGGAGAGUUUGCUUUCCUUCCUUGGUAAGGGCUAACCCUAGACAAAAUUUUAAAAGAGAAUACAAACUUGUUCUACCUCUCCUUUUGUAAAAUGUCUCUCCUAAAAUGUCAGAUACGGUCCUGCUGUACUUGGACCCUGCUGGGUUACUUAUCAGGCUCAGCCCUGUUCCCCAGUUUUAAAAUUACCUAUUUCUCAUCCGUUUUCAAUAUCCAUUCCCUUGGGGGGAACUUAGUUGCUUAGGAGGAGGUAAAUGGACUUCUUUUACGAAUCCAUAUUAAUGUUUAAAUGACUAAUGGUAUCAAAAUCCUCCCCAAAAUACAUACAUUUUUAAAGAAUGUGGCCAAAUGAAAUAACUGUAAUAUCGAGUGAAAAUUUUAGAGGAUGAGGGUCAUUUAGACCUGCCAGUCUAUGCUGAAAUCUCACUGUCUUUUCCCUACAACUCCAGCUCUCUUGAAAUGAAAAGUUUACAAUUAUUUCCUGUGAUCUAUUUAUGAAAUUACAAAUGAUAGAAAUUUCCAAGUCCUUUUCCUAUCUCCCACCCCUUCAUUUCUGAACGUAACAGGGCAGGCAUAAGGGCACACGAUGUACCUAUGGAUCUUUUGUACAUUCAGUGUUUGAGUUUACCCUUUUCUGUCAUGACUUGCCACCAUUUUCCUGCAACCACUUUUGCUCAUAAAUAAGCACUUUUUAUCAACACUUUAUAGAGUAUAAACUUUUUUCUUUUAAAUCUAAUUCUUUUUUGAUUAAAUUCUUGCUGUAUAUACUAUAUACUUUUAAAAGGAAAUUUAUUUCUAUGUUUGCAUUCAUCAGCAAGAUAACUGAGUACUGGUUGCUUGCCUAUCAAUGUGUUCAUAUAGUAUAAUUAAAUUGUAGCAAUUAACAGUGUGACAAUUAUCAGUUUCAGCAUCAGGCAAGUGGCUGGAUGGUAUUCGAAAAUGGUAUUACAAUGCUGCAGGAUUCAAUAAACUGGGUAAGCAGCUGUGCUGUUUAAUAUUUGUUGUUGUUGUUGUUGUUUCUUUGUUUUUUUAAUUUUUCUGAGAGUAUUGCUUUUGCAAGUGUUACUGUGGUUCCAAAAACCAUUUCAAUUCUUGUAUACAUCAGAAGAUUUUAAAAUUAAAUCACAUUAUGUUAAAUCCAGUUCCUUUUUAAAGUUUUUUUGAGAGAAGAGGGAUGAAAGCCUCUAAAAUGUUCGACUUGGUAAUGAUUUAAGUAGUAAGACAUUUUCCUUCUACACCCCCUUUCCCAACUCUUCCACUUAAAAUUUUAUUUAUUUAUUUAUUUAUUUAUUUAUUUGAGACGGAGUCUUGCUCUGUCACCAGGCUGGAGUGCAGUGGCGCAGUCACGGUUCACUGCAACCUCCACCUCCCAAGUUCAAGUGAUUCUCCUGCCUCAGCCUCCUGAGUAGCUGGGAUUACAGGCAUGUGCCACCAAGCCCGGCUAAUUUUUUUUGUAUGUAGUAGAGACGGGGUUUCACCAUAUUAGGCUGGUCGCAAACUCCUGACCUCAGGUGAUCCACCUGCCUCGGCCUUCCAAAGUGCUGGGAUUAUAGGUGUGCACUACUGCGCCCAGACUUCCACUUAAAAUUUUAAUUUAAAUUAUAUAAACAUUGAAAGUAGAGAGUUUUCGAAUAUUAAAAUUUUAUCACGUCCAUGCAAUCAUAUGAUUCCUAAGCUUUUUUAGAACUUUGUAAUUUACCAUGAACUUCAUCUUUUGCUAUUGAAGCUUGAAGAAAGUGUAAGCAAAAGUCACUAUUCCUUAGUAUGCUAUCAUUUUAAGAUUCUUUAAUACCUUGAUCUCAGAUUUAAACUGAGAAGAGAUGUGGUUUUUUAAUGUGUGUUUAAAAACAAAGUAAACAUUUAAAAUAUUUUGUAAAUGGUUUAGAUAAAAUAUGAAUUUUGUGGCGUUGGAUUUUAAGAGGCUCAUAUAUUGUUUCCAUAGUCUAGUUCAAGAAGUAACCCAUUAUAUCAAGUAAUAACUCAUUACUUUUAAUGGCAAAACUGCAAUUACUUUUGCACCAACCUAAUAAUGUACGAAAUGCAUUGAAUUUCCAUUGAACCUAGUGAUUUGAAUUCGAUAGUUCACCAAAAGUUGUAAGUUAUAAGUUAUAAGUCAUAAAGAUAUUUUACUAAUUUAAAAAAAAACGCGAUUUUUGAGAUGCAUGUGCAAUCUAACUUUGUCGUCUAUCAUAGGGUUAAUGCGAGAUGAUACAAUAUACGAGGAUGAAGAUGUAAAAGAAGCCAUAAGAAGGCUUCCUGAGAACCUUUAUAAUGACAGGAUGUUUCGCAUUAAGAGGGCACUGGACCUGAACUUGAAGCAUCAGAUCUUGCCUAAAGAGCAGUGGACCAAAUAUGAAGAGGAAAAUUUCUACCUUGAACCGUAUCUGAAAGAGGUUAUUCGGGAAAGAAAAGAAAGAGAAGAAUGGGCAAAGAAGUAAUCAUGUAGUUGAAGUCUGUGGAUGCAGCUGUUAUGAAGAUGGUUAAACUUGAAACAAACAAUUUUAAGAAUUAUUUGGUCUGCAGAUGUUUUACUUUAAAUAAAUGUCUAUUGUAAUGG
rnacentral:sRNA from 1 species